CUUUACCAUUCAGCACCAUGGUUUGCAUAGAAAUGCUGCCAGAGGCCUGCUUAGCUUGUACAGCAUGCCAUUUUCGAGCUAUGAGAGAGAGAGAUAGCGAGAAGGAGGGAGAGACAGAGAGAGAGAAAACAAUCUGCUACAUCUCCUUCAGCCACCGGACACACUGGAGCUCAAUGACUCUCCACAUCUCUCAAGAUCACAUCCACCACCAACUACUGUGUUUUGAUCCUUAUUGUUAAUAGACAAGCUAUUCUGUCUUUCUUUCAAAAAUACAAGAAAAAAAACAAGGAACUCUCUCACACAGACACACAUACACGUACAGACAAAGGCUCACAUACGUACAGACACAGUCACACACACGUACAGACACAGGCACACACACGUACAGACACAGGCAUACACAUGUACAUACACAGGCACACACACAUACAGACACAGGCACACACGUACAGACACAGGCACACACACGUACAGACACAGGCACACACACGUACAGACACAGGCAUACACAUGUACAUACACAGGCACACACACAUACAGACACAGGCACACACGUACAGACACAGGCACACACAUGUACAGACACAGGCACACACACGUACAGACACAGGCAUACAUACGUACAGACACAGGCAUACACAUGUACAGACACAGGCACACACACGUACAGACACAGACAUACAUACGUACAGACACAGGCAUACAUACGUACAGACACAGGCACACACACAUACAGACACAGGCACACACGUACAGACACAGGCACACACACGUACAGACACAGGCAUACACAUGUACAGACACAGGCACACACACGUACAGACACAGGCAUACACAUGUACAGACACAGGCACACACACGUACAGACACAGACAUACAUACGUACAGACACAGGCAUACAUACGUACAGACACAGGCACACACAUGUACAUACACAGGCACACACACGUACAGACACAGGCACACACACGUACAGACACAGGCACACACAUGUACAGACACAGGCACACACACAUACAGACACAGGCACACACACAUACAGACACAGGCACACACACAUACAGACACAGGCACACACACGUACAGACACAGGCACACACACGUACAGACACAGGCAUACAUACGUACAGACACAGUCACACAUAUGUACAGACACAGGCACACACAUGUACAUACACAGGCACACACACGUACAGACACAGUCACACACAUGUACAGACACACACACAUACAGACACAGGCACACACACGUACAGACACAGGCACACACACGUACAGACACACACACACACACAUACAGACACAGGCACACACACGUACACACACACACACACACACAUACAGACACAGGCACACACACGUACAGACACAGGCACACACACAUACAGACACAGACACACAACUACAAGCGAAGGCACACACAUGUACAGACACAGGCACACACACGUACAGACACAGGCACACACACGUAACGACACAUAGACACACAGACACACACACUCUCUACCUCUGCCCCCCCCCCACAGCAGCAGCC
ensembl:lncRNA